rnacentral:misc_RNA from 1 species
AAGUCGUAACAAGGUUUCCGUAGGUGAACCUGCGGAAGGAUCAUUAACACGUAUCCAACGUUAAACAACCCUGUGAACUUUAAGCCUACUCUUGCAGCCCAUGAGGAACGGCCACCGCGCCCCUUAAUCACUCCACUAGAAAAUGCCCCGCCUAGUGGUAACGCGCUAGGUAAAAAAAACCGAACAACUGUUAACAAUGGAUAUCUUGGUUCUC